UGCUGAUUUCCACUGAAGAGCUAAUUUCCUGUGAGACAUUAACAGUGAUUUAAGAAAAAGAUUCCUGUAACUGUAAUGUCUUACAAUAACAGAAUGCAGGAGAGCACAUAUCAAUGAAGAAAAGACAAAAUGUACUUAUCCAUGAAGCUGAGGUUAAGAAACCAGUGUCUUCAAGAGCCAGGGACAGCACUGGGUCUGUGCAGAGUUGAGAGAUGGUGAUGACAUGCUGUAAGCGAAUAAGUGACAGAGCUCCUUGCUGCUCAAAUUUUAUGCCAGAUAAAAUAUUCACCUUCUCGGACUCCCUGGCACCAGGCAUGGCCAUGUAAUCCUACAGCACAGCUGAUGAAAGAGAAGACAUCUUGCUGCUAUUUGACAAGCAAGAAGAUAAAAGCUUUCCUAUAAAGAUGAUGGAGCAAAAAAAUAGAAGGGGCCUAGACUCCCUACCUUCACACUUCCUGCUAUAAAAGCAUUGCUAUUAUAAGGUUAAUCUGCAGAAACAGACUUCUAUGUCAUAUGCUUAAAUGCAUCAAAAUUCAUACAAUAUCCAUUAAAUUGGUAAAAGUAUCCAUUUUAAAGGAUUAAUCUGAGGGACCCACAGACACUUAACACAAUCAAAUCUCAGAAAAAAAAUCAGUUAUUUCAUUGUGAUUUUGAGGCUGAUCUUUUAUGAUCUUUUAGUUAUCAAACUGUUAAAUACAUUUUAACUUUCAAAUUUUAUGAAUAAAGG
rnacentral:lncRNA from 1 species